rnacentral:misc_RNA from 1 species
UUCUGUGAUGAAUUUUUUAGUCUUAAUGGAAUUUCCCUAGAUCUGAUCUGUGGGAUCUGUUUCACAACUGAGAA